rnacentral:rRNA from 1 species
AGUGAACGCUGGCGGUAGGCCUAACACAUGCAAGUCGAACGGCAGCACAGUAAGAGCUUGCUCUUACGGGUGGCGAGUGGCGGACGGGUGAGGAAUACAUCGGAAUCUACUUUUUCGUGGGGGAUAACGUAGGGAAACUUACACUAAUACCGCAUACGACCUACGGGUGAAAGCAGGGGAUCUUCGGACCUUGCGCGAUUGAAUGAGCCGAUGCCGGAUUAGCUAGUUGGCGGGGUAAAGGCCCACCAAGGCGACGAUCCGUAGCUGGUCUGAGAGGAUGAUCAGCCACACUGGAACUGAGACACGGUCCAGACUCCUACGGGAGGCAGCAGUGGGGAAUAUUGGACAAAGGGCGCAAGCCUGAUCCAGCCAUACCGCGUGGGUGAAGAAGGCCUUCGGGUUGUAAAGCCCUUUUGUUGGGAAAGAAAAGCAGCAGGUUAAUACCCCGCUGUUCUGACGGUACCCAAAGAAUAAGCACCGGCUAACUUCGUG